rnacentral:rRNA from 1 species
GAUAUGAACCGUUAUAACCGGCGAUUUCCGAAUGGGGAAACCCAGUGUGUUUCGACACACUAUCAUUAACUGAAUCCAUAGGUUAAUGAGGCGAACCGGGGGAACUGAAACAUCUAAGUACCCCGAGGAAAAGAAAUCAACCGAGAUUCCCCCAGUAGCGGCGAGCGAACGGGGAGGAGCCCAGAGCCUGAAUCAGUGUGUGUGUUAGUGGAAGCGUCUGGAAAGGCGCGCGAUACAGGGUGACAGCCCCGUACACAAAAAUGCACAUAUUGUGAGCUCGAUGAGUAGGGCGGGACACGUGGUAUCCUGUCUGAAUAUGGGGGGACCAUCCUCCAAGGCUAAAUACUCCUGACUGACCGAUAGUGAACCAGUACCGUGAGGGAAAGGCGAAAAGAACCCCGGCGAGGGGAGUGAAAAAGAACCUGAAACCGUGUACGUACAAGCAGUGGGAGCCUCUUUAUGGGGUGACUGCGUACCUUUUGUAUAAUGGGUCAGCGACUUAUAUUCUGUAGCAAGGUUAACCGAAUAGGGGAGCCGAAGGGAAACCGAGUCUUAACUGGGCGUUAAGUUGCAGGGUAUAGACCCGAAACCCGGUGAUCUAGCCAUGGGCAGGUUGAAGGUUGGGUAACACUAACUGGAGGACCGAACCGACUAAUGUUGAAAAAUUAGCGGAUGACUUGUGGCUGGGGGUGAAAGGCCAAUCAAACCGGGAGAUAGCUGGUUCUCCCCGAAAGCUAUUUAGGUAGCGCCUCGUGAAUUCAUCUCCGGGGGUAGAGCACUGUUUCGGCAAGGGGGUCAUCCCGACUUACCAACCCGAUGCAAACUGCGAAUACCGGAGAAUGUUAUCACGGGAGACACACGGCGGGUGCUAACGUCCGUCGUGAAGAGGGAAACAACCCAGACCGCCAGCUAAGGUCCCAAAGUCAUGGUUAAGUGGGAAACGAUGUGGGAAGGCCCAGACAGCCAGGAUGUUGGCUUAGAAGCAGCCAUCAUUUAAAGAAAGCGUAAUAGCUCACUGGUCGAGUCGGCCUGCGCGGAAGAUGUAACGGGGCUAAACCAUGCACCGAAGCUGCGGCAGCGACACUAUGUGUUGUUGGGUAGGGGAGCGUUCUGUAAGCCUGUGAAGGUGGCCUGUGAGGGUUGCUGGAGGUAUCAGAAGUGCGAAUGCUGACAUAAGUAACGAUAAAGCGGGUGAAAAGCCCGCUCGCCGGAAGACCAAGGGUUCCUGUCCAACGUUAAUCGGGGCAGGGUGAGUCGACCCCUAAGGCGAGGCCGAAAGGCGUAGUCGAUGGGAAACAGGUUAAUAUUCCUGUACUUGGUGUUACUGCGAAGGGGGGACGGAGAAGGCUAUGUUGGCCGGGCGACGGUUGUCCCGGUUUAAGCGUGUAGGCUGGUUUUCCAGGCAAAUCCGGAAAACCAAGGCUGAGGCGUGAUGACGAGGCACUACGGUGCUGAAGCGACAAAUGCCCUGCUUCCAGGAAAAGCCUCUAAGCAUCAGGUAACAUCAAAUCGUACCCCAAACCGACACAGGUGGUCAGGUAGAGAAUACCAAGGCGCUUGAGAGAACUCGGGUGAAGGAACUAGGCAAAAUGGUGCCGUAACUUCGGGAGAAGGCACGCUGAUAUGUAGGUGAAGCGACUUGCUCGUGGAGCUGAAAUCAGUCGAAGAUACCAGCUGGCUGCAACUGUUUAUUAAAAACACAGCACUGUGCAAACACGAAAGUGGACGUAUACGGUGUGACGCCUGCCCGGUGCCGGAAGGUUAAUUGAUGGGGUUAGCGGUAACGCGAAGCUCUUGAUCGAAGCCCCGGUAAACGGCGGCCGUAACUAUAACGGUCCUAAGGUAGCGAAAUUCCUUGUCGGGUAAGUUCCGACCUGCACGAAUGGCGUAAUGAUGGCCAGGCUGUCUCCACCCGAGACUCAGUGAAAUUGAACUCGCUGUGAAGAUGCAGUGUACCCGCGGCAAGACGGAAAGACCCCGUGAACCUUUACUAUAGCUUGACACUGAACAUUGAGCCUUGAUGUGUAGGAUAGGUGGGAGGCUUUGAAGUGUGGACGCCAGUCUGCAUGGAGCCGACCUUGAAAUACCACCCUUUAAUGUUUGAUGUUCUAACGUUGGCCCGUAAUCCGGGUUGCGGACAGUGUCUGGUGGGUAGUUUGACUGGGGCGGUCUCCUCCUAAAGAGUAACGGAGGAGCACGAAGGUUGGCUAAUCCUGGUCGGACAUCAGGAGGUUAGUGCAAUGGCAUAAGCCAGCUUGACUGCGAGCGUGACGGCGCGAGCAGGUGCGAAAGCAGGUCAUAGUGAUCCGGUGGUUCUGAAUGGAAGGGCCAUCGCUCAACGGAUAAAAGGUACUCCGGGGAUAACAGGCUGAUACCGCCCAAGAGUUCAUAUCGACGGCGGUGUUUGGCACCUCGAUGUCGGCUCAUCACAUCCUGGGGCUGAAGUAGGUCCCAAGGGUAUGGCUGUUCGCCAUUUAAAGUGGUACGCGAGCUGGGUUUAGAACGUCGUGAGACAGUUCGGUCCCUAUCUGCCGUGGGCGCUGGAGAACUGAGGGGGGCUGCUCCUAGUACGAGAGGACCGGAGUGGACGCAUCACUGGUGUUCGGGUUGUCAUGCCAAUGGCACUGCCCGGUAGCUAAAUGCGGAAGAGAUAAGUGCUGAAAGCAUCUAAGCACGAAACUUGC